rnacentral:rRNA from 1 species
UACGAAGGGGGCUAGCGUUGUUCGGAAUUACUGGGCGUAAAGCGCACGUAGGCGGAUAUUUAAGUCAGGGGUGAAAUCCCAGAGCUCAACUCUGGAACUGCCUUUGAUACUGGGUAUCUUGAGUAUGGAAGAGGUAAGUGGAAUUGCGAGUGUAGAGGUGAAAUUCGUAGAUAUUCGCAAGAACACCAGUGGCGAAGGCGGCUUACUGGUCCGGUUCUGACGCUGAGGCGCGAAAGCGUGGGGAGCAAACAGG